GAGUCGUUGCGCGGUAGGCGUAGGUUUGCACUUCGAGCGGCCGCGUUGGUACCUUGCUCCUUUGCCGGCGAGCGGGGGACGGGUGAGUUAUGUCUGGGAAAGUGCCUGAGGGAGGGGGAUAACUACGGAAAACGGUAGCUAAUACCGCAUAACGUCACAAGACCAGGGAGGGGGACCUUCGGGCCUCUUGCCAUCACAUGUGCCCAUAUGGCAUUAUCUAGUAGGUGGGGUAACGGCUCACCUAGGCCACUAUCCCUAGCUGGUCUGAGAAGAUGACCACCCACACUGAAACUGAGACACGGUCCAUACUCCUACGGGAGGCAGCAGUGGGGAAUAUUGCACAAUGGGCCCAAGCCUGAUGCACCCAUGCCGCGUGUAUGAACAACGCCUUCGGGUUGUCAUGUACUUUCAGCGGGGAGGAAGGUGUUGAGGUUAAUACCCUCAGCUGUUGACGUCACCAGCAGAACAAGCACCGUCUAUCUCCGUGCCCGCGGCCGCACUAAUACGGAAGGUGCUAGCCUUAAUCACAAUUACUGAACAUAAAGCCCACGCGUGCGGUCUGUCCAUCAAAUGUAAAAUCCUCGAACUCCGCCUG
rnacentral:rRNA from 1 species